rnacentral:rRNA from 1 species
AACGAACGCUGGCGGCAUGCCUAACACAUGCAAGUCGAACGAGACCUUCGGGUCUAGUGGCGCACGGGUGCGUAACGCGUGGGAACCUGCCCUUAGGUUCGGAAUAACUCCCCGAAAGGGGUGCUAAUACCGGAUAAUGUCUUCGGACCAAAGAUUUAUCGCCUUUGGAUGGGCCCGCGUUGGAUUAGCUAGUUGGUAGGGUAAAAGCCUACCAAGGCGACGAUCCAUAGCUGGUCUGAGAGGAUGAUCAGCCACACGGGGACUGAGACACGGCCCAGACCCCUGCGGGAGGGAGGAGGGGGGACUUUUGGAAACGGGGCGAAAGCCUAACCCCGAAUUGCCGGGGGGGUGAUGAAGGCCUUAGGGUGGUAAAGCUUUUUUCCCCGGGAUGAUAAUGACCGUACCGGGAAAAUAAGCCCCGGCUAACUCCGU